GACGAAGGGGGCUAGCGUUGUCCGGAAUCAUUGGGCGUAAAGCGCGCGUAGGUGGCCUCAUAAGUCCGCUGUGAAAGUCAAAGGCUCAACCUUUGAAAGCCGGUGGAUACUGUGAGGCUAGAGUACGGAAGAGGCGAGUGGAAUUCCUGGUGUAGCGGUGGAAUGCGCAGAUAUCAGGAGGAACACCAAUAGCGAAGGCAGCUCGCUGGGACGUUACUGACACUGAGGCGCGAAAGCGUGGGGAGCGAACAGG
rnacentral:rRNA from 1 species